ACAAUUCGAACCAGACCAAAAAAUAAUUAUUAUCGCUCAUUGACUCCCAUUCAUAUUUUUUGGAAAGAUAGGUCCCAUGGACCGGAAGUAGAAGGGCGUGACUUUGGCUCUCUAUAUGUCACUGAAGCUCAUUCUAAUU